GUGAACAUCCUUCAAGGCUCAAUGAAAUCCGCGGAGCUUUUCUCAACCCUAACCCUAGCAAUCAGAAGACUGCCGAGUCUCCGCUCCAAUGUGAAUAAAUACAACUGCGUUGCCCCAACCAAUUCCCUAGGUUUUGUUCUGCUAAUGCCGUUCCUCACUAGCUCUGAUGAAGAUUUUUCAGAUGACGAGUCUGAUCGAAAAUCCAUUCGUUUACAAUCGUGACGACAAAUCGAGGCAUUUGUCUGAGAGAAACUCCUUUUUUGUUUAUUAUUCUAUUUUUCUUCAUUUUCUCCUCAACAUUUUUAAUAUCUUCCCCCCAAUACCGAAGUAUUGUUCUGCUUUAGUUAAGCAGCACUAUUUGAAGUCAGGAAUGAUAAUUGCAAUAUUUUGUUCUGAAUAUUCAAGUGAUUGAACGAAUGAAUGAAUUCCUGCUCAUCCUCAAUUCUUGGCUUCACUCGUUAAUUUGCUGCUACACAUUGAGUCUUCUUUUUCAAUUUUUUUUCUCGUUAAAUUUUCUUCUCUCUUCCUUUUUCAAAUAUUGACUUUAGCAAAUGGAGAUACGGCGGGAAUGCUGUCCCAAGGCUGUUUAUGACCUUCGGUUGCAGCUGGGAAAAUUUGUCCACUUUUCGGACCUUAGCUGGAAACGAUGAACAACUCUGCACAAACUUUGCUGAGGUUUAAUCAACUAAUUGUGAUGUUUAUGCUUAAUUUACCCCAAAGGUAAAACUUGUUCAUGUCUCAUGGCAGAGUAAAUGGUUCAAAAUCAUACAAUCUCAUGAUCACGGCGUGCCUGGCUGUGUUUUUUCCCUAUGAAGGAAAUUUGCUGGAUUUGAUACGCUGCUCUAAAUCCAUCUAGUCUUAGUCUACUAUUUUGGUUUUUUCCAAUACAUAUGAAACAGGAAACUCUGAUAAAUGAUGGGGUAAAUAAUGUGGCAAUGAUGAGAAAAACUCUGUUAAACAAUGAGGAACCCCUUCCUGUUAUUCAUUCA